rnacentral:rRNA from 1 species
CAUGGCUGUCGUCAGCUCGUGUCGUGAGAUGUUGGGUUAAGUCCCGUAACGAGCGCAACCCUUGUCCUUAGUUACCAGCACGUUAUGGUGGGCACUCUAAGGAGACUGCCGGUGACAAACCGGAGGAAGGUGGGGAUGACGUCAAGUCAUCCAUGGCCCUUACGGCCUGGGCUACACACGUGCUACAAUGGUCGGUACAAAGGGUUGCCAAGCCGCGAGGUGGAGCUAAUCCCAUAAAACCGAUCGUAGUCCGGAUCGCAGUCUGCAACUCGACUGCGUGAAGUCGGAAUCGCUAGUAAUCGUGAAUCAGAAUGUCACGGUGAAUACGUUCCCGGGCCUU